GACAGAGGGUGCAAACGUUGUUCGGAAUUACUGGGCGUAAAGCGCGUGUAGGCGGCUAUGCAAGUCGGAUGUGAAAGCCCUCGGCUCAACCGGGGAAGUGCACCCGAAACUGCAAAGCUAGAGUCUCGGAGAGGAUCGUGGAAUUCUCGGUGUAGAGGUGAAAUGCGUAGAUAUCUGGAGGAACACCGGUGGCGAAGGCGGCAUCCUGGACCGGUAUUGACGCUGAGGCGCGAAAGCUAGGGGAGCAAACGGG
rnacentral:rRNA from 1 species